AGCUUUGCGCAGUGGCAGUAUCAUAGCCAAUGAGGUCAAACUGAGGCGUGAUUAUUGCUAAUUGUGAUGAAGCUGAAGCUUGAUGAAAGCGGAGGGGCUGUGUUCCCAUUAGGGAAGAGCUGCUGACUUAUUUUUUGUAGGGGCUUCGCACAUGCUCAUUAUGCCUAACCAUGCUUCACUUCCUUGCCAUAGCC
ensembl:snRNA U4 U4 spliceosomal RNA